rnacentral:rRNA from 1 species
CCUACGGGAGGCAGCAGUGAGGAAUAUUGGUCAAUGGACGAGAGUCUGAACCAGUCAAGUAGCGUGAAGGAUGACUGCCCUAUGGGUUGUAAACUUCUUUUAUAUGGGAAUAAAAUGUUCCACGUGUGGGAUUUUGUAUGUACCAUAUGAAUAAGGAUCGGCUAACUCCGUGCCAGCAGCCGCGGUAAUACGGAGGAUCCGAGCGUUAUCCGGAUUUAUUGGGUUUAAUGGGAGCGUAGGUGGAUUGUUAAGUCAGUUGUGAAAGUUUGCGGCUCAACCGUAAAAUUGCAGUUGAAACUGGCAGUCGUGAGUACAGUAGAGGUGGGCGGAAUUCGUGGUGUAGCGGUGAAAUGCUUAGAUAUCACGAAGAACUCCGAUUGCGAAGGCAGCUCACUGGACUGCAACUGACACUGAGGCUCGAAAGUGUGGGUAUCAAACAGGAUUAGAUACCCCGGUAGUC